CUCGCUCGCUGGUCCCGGCGGCCGCGGAGGUCCUGCCUGUCACCGCCGCGCGCCUGCGAGCGCUGUCGGCUCGCCCGCUCGCCACCGCCGGUAUGAUGACCUCAUACGUCGUCAUGUGUCAUAUGUCAAAUGUCACCAUUUGGAGAAAUGAAAGAGCCAUCUUAUGAAUUCGUUUUGACUGAAGAAAGACAAGCUCACCGUGCAAAUACAUGCCUAACACCUAUCCAAACAAUACUUAAUAAAUGUUUUAUUUAUUUUGAAAUGUU